CCCAGCUGCAGGCACCUGCCUGGGUUGCACUGGACCUGGGCAAGUGUUCCACCGCUGGGAGAAAAGCAGCCAACAGCUGGCAGGCAACCUGGGCCCGGUUAAUGCCAAAGCUGUGUACUACACCAGUGUGCCUGCAUAGUUUCUUUUUUUAACAUGUGUGGAGAGC
ensembl:snoRNA SNORA74 Small nucleolar RNA SNORA74